rnacentral:ncRNA from 1 species
GAUCAAGCGUCUGAAGGGCAUCUGGUGGAUGCCUUGGCACUGAGAGGCGAUGAAGGACGUAGCACGUUGCGAUAAGUCACGGGGAGCCGCGAGCAGGCAUUGAUCCGUGAAUUUCCGAAUGGGGAAACCCACCGCGUCAAGCGGUAUCCCACACUGAAUCCAUAGGUGUGGGAAGCGAACCCGGCGAACUGAAACAUCUAAGUAGCCGGAGGAAAGGACAUCAACCGAGACUCCGCUAGUAGUGGCGAGCGAACGCGGACCAGGCCAGUCAUUCGAUCUACAUAACCGGAACCGUCUGGAAAGUCGGGCCAUAGCGGGUGAUAGCCCCGUACGGAUAAACCGGAUCGAAUGCUCGAGUAGGGCGGGGCACGUGAAACCCUGUCUGAACAUGGGGGGACCACCCUCCAAGCCUAAGUACUCCUCAGUGACCGAUAGUGCACCAGUACCGUGAGGGAAAGGUGAAAAGCACCCCGACAAGGGGAGUGAAACAGUUCCUGAAACCGGAUGCCUACAAGCAGUCGGAGCCUCUUCAUGGGGUGACGGCGUACCUUUUGUAUAAUGGGUCAGCGACUUAGAGUAUGCAGCGAGCUUAAGCCGGUAGGUGGAGGCGCAGCGAAAGCGAGUCUGAAUAGGGCGACCGAGUUGCAUGCUUUAGACCCGAAACCUGAUGAUCUAGCCAUGGGCAGGUUGAAGGUGCGGUAACACGCACUGGAGGACCGAACUCACGCCUGUUGAAAAAGUCGGAGAUGACCUGUGGCUAGGGGUGAAAGGCCAAUCAAAUCAGGAAAUAGCUGGUUCUCCGCGAAAGCUAUUUAGGUAGCGCGUCGCGUAUUGCCGCGGGGGGUAGAGCACUGGAUGGGCUAGGGGGGCGCGAGCCUUACCAAACCUAACCAAACUCCGAAUACCCGUGAGCAGAGCGCGGCAGACAGACGGUGGGUGCUAAGGUCCAUCGUCGAGAGGGAAACAGCCCAGACCGCCAGCUAAGGUCCCCAAAUCACGGCUAAGUGGGAAAGGAUGUGGGAAGGCCAUGACAACCAGGAGGUUGGCUUAGAAGCAGCCAUCCUUUAAAGAAAGCGUAAUAGCUCACUGGUCUAGUUAAGCCGGCCUGCGCCGAAAAUGUAUCGGGGCUCAAGCCGUGUACCGAAGCUGCGGAUGCGAUCUUAUGAUCACGUGGUAGCGGAGCGUUCCGUAAGCCUGCGAAGGGUGUCCGUGAGGCCGCCUGGAGGUAUCGGAAGUGAGAAUGCUGACAUGAGUAGCGACAAACAGUGUGAGAAACACUGUCGCCGAAAGUCCAAGGGUUCCUGCGCAAGGUUAAUCCACGCAGGGUGAGCCGGCCCCUAAGGCGAGGCCGAAAGGCGUAGUCGA